rnacentral:rRNA from 1 species
UACGUAGGGACCAAGCGUUGUUCGGAUUUACUGGGCGUAAAGGGCGCGUAGGCGGCAAAUUAAGUCAGCUGUGAAAUCUCCGAGCUUAACUCGGAACUGUCAGCUGAUACUGAUGUGCUAGAGUGCGGAAGGGGCAAUCGGAAUUCUUGGUGUAGCGGUGAAAUGCGUAGAUAUCAGGAGGAACACCGGUGGCGAAGGCGGCUACCUGGACAGAAACUGACGCUGAGGCGCGAAAGCUAGGGGAGCAAACAGG